UACAGAGGGUGCGAGCGUUAAUCGGAAUUACUGGGCGUAAAGCGCACGUAGUCGGCUUUGCAAGUCGGGUGUGAAAUCCCCGGGCUCAACCUGGGAACUGCAUCCGAGACUGCAUUGCUAGAGUAUGGGAGAGGGAAGCGGAACUCCGAGUGUAGAGGUGAAAUUCGUAGAUAUUCGGAAGAACACCAGUGGCGAAGGCGACUCACUGGCCCGAUACUGACGCUGAGGCGCGAAAGCGUGGGGAGCAAACAGG
rnacentral:rRNA from 1 species